rnacentral:rRNA from 1 species
UACGAAGGGGGCUAGCGUUGUUCGGAAUUACUGGGCGUAAAGCGCACGUAGGCGGAUUGUUAAGUUAGGAGUGAAAUCCCAGGGCUCAACCCUGGAACUGCCUUUAAUACUGGCAAUCUCGAGUCCGAGAGAGGUGAGUGGAAUUCCGAGUGUAGAGGUGAAAUUCGUAGAUAUUCGGAGGAACACCAGUGGCGAAGGCGGCUCACUGGCUCGGUACUGACGCUGAGGUGCGAAAGCGUGGGGAGCAAACAGG